rnacentral:ncRNA from 1 species
ACGGGCUUGGAAUAAUUAGCGGGGAAAGAAGACCCUUUUGAGCUUGACUCUAAUCUGGCAGUGUAAGGAGACAUAAGAGGUGUAGCAUAAGUGGGAGAUAUUAGAUUUCGGUUUGGUAUCGACAAUGAAAUACCACUACUCUUAUUGUUUCCUUACUUACUUGAUUAAAUGGAACGUGUAUCAUUUCCUAGCCAUUAUACGGAUAUAUUUAUUAUAUCUUAUGGUAUUGGGUUUUGAUGCAAGCUUCUUGAUCAAAGUAUCACGAGUUUGUUAUAUAAUCGCAAACAAAUUCUUUAAUGAGAAAAUGCAUUUAUGUAUUUUCAAUUUGAAAAUUUGGUAUAACUCCAAUUACUCAGGUAUGAUCCAAUUCAAGGACAUUGCCAGGUAGGGAGUUUGACUGGGGCGGUACAUCUCUCAAAUAAUAACGGAGGUGUCCCAAGGCCAGCUCAGUGCGGACAGAAACCACACAUAGAGCAAAAGGGCAAAUGCUGACUUGAUCUCGGUGUUCAGUACACACAGGGACAGCAAAAGCUCGGCCUAUCGAUCCUUUUGGUUUAAAGAGUUUUUAACAAGAGGUGUCAGAAAAGUUACCAUAGGGAUAACUGGCUUGUGGCGGCCAAGCGUUCAUAGCGACGUCGCUUUUUGAUCCUUCGAUGUCGGCUCUUCCUAUCAUUGUGAAGCAAAAUUCACCAAGCGUUGGAUUGUUCACCCAUGCAAGGGAACGUGAGCUGGGUUUAGACCGUCGUGAGACAGGUUAGUUUUACCCUACUAAUGACAAAACGUUGUUGCGACAGCAUUCCUGCGUAGUACGAGAGGAACCGCAGGUACGGGACCAAAUGGCACAAUACUUGUUCGAGCGAACAGUGGUAUGACGCUACGUCCCGUUGGAUUAUGCCUGAACGCCUCUAAGGUCGUAUCCGUGCUGGACUGCAAUGAUAAAUAAGGGGCAAUUUGCAUUGUAUGGGUUCUAAACCAUUUAAAAGUUUAUAAUUUAUUUUAUAAACGACCAUUGGAUGUGAUGCCAAUGUAAUUUGUGACCAUAGUAAAUUGGGGAGGGAUCAUCGAUCACCUGAAUGCCGCGCUAGUUGCAUAUAAAAACAUUAUUUUAAUACCAAUGACAAAGCCUAGGAAUCAAUUGGUAAACCGACUUUUGUAACAGGCAAGGUGUUGUAAGUGCUUGAGCAGCUGCCAAUACGGCGAAUCCAACUGAAAGCUAAUCCUUUGCUUGAUGAUUCGA